rnacentral:ribozyme from 1 species
UGCCCAGUAAUUCCCAUCCCAACCUCCCCGUGGUGCCGCCUAGGGUACGAGUAACUAUAACUAUGUAACUGUAGGGACCAACCCCGGUGGGACCUUGGUCGUAUGCUGACAGGGAAGG